AUCGCUUCUCGGCCUUUUGGCUAAGAUCAAGUGUAAUACCAAUAUAGAAUGAAUUUUUUGUAUCUUUCUUCCCUAAUAGCCUGUUAUAUAAACUUUGAGGAGCAAGUAAUUUUUCAUAAUGAUAGAAAUUGUAGUUGAAUUUAA
ensembl:snRNA U2 U2 spliceosomal RNA